UUCCUGCCCGCACAGGAACCUGGACCACAGCUAAGACCAUGUGAUGCACACAUUCCCAAAAUGAUGUGAUAGUUGUAUAUAUUUUAAAUAAACC